rnacentral:rRNA from 1 species
CUCCUACGGGAGGCAGCAGUUGGGAAUCUUGCGCAAUGGGGGGAACCCUGACGCAGCGACGCCGCGUGCGGGAUGACGAUCUUCGGAUUGUAAACCGCUUUUCCCAGGGACGAUAAUGACGGUACCUGGGGAAUCAGCCCCGGCUAACUCCGUGCCAGCAGCCGCGGUAAGACGGAGGGGGCAAGCGUUGUCCGGAAUUACUGGGCGUAAAGCGCUCGUAGGCGGUUGCGUACGGCGGUGGUGAAAGCUCCCGGCUCAACUGGGAGAGGCCCGCCGCAACGGCGUGACUCGAGGGUGGUAGAGGCAGAUGGAAUUCCUGGUGUAGCGGUGAAAUGCGUAGAGAUCAGGAGGAACACCCGUGGCGAAGGCGGUCUGCUGGGCCAUGCCUGACGCUGAGGAGCGAAAGCUAGGGGAGCGAACGGGAUUAGAUACCCCGGUAGUCCACGCCCUAAACGAUGUCAACUAGUUGUUGGGGAGGGAGACCUCCUUAGUAACGCAGCUAACGCGUGAAGUUGACCGCCUGGGGAGUACGGUCGCAAGAUUAAAACUCAAAGGAAUUGACGG